rnacentral:rRNA from 1 species
UACGUAGGUCCCGAGCGUUGUCCGGAUUUAUUGGGCGUAAAGCGAGCGCAGGUGGUUUAUUAAGUCUGGUGUAAAAGGCAGUGGCUCAACCAUUGUAUGCAUUGGAAACUGGUAGACUUGGGUGCAGGAGAGGAGAGUGGAAUUCCAUGUAUAGCGGUGAAAUGCGUAGAUAUAUGGAGGAACACCGGUGGCGAAAGCGGCUCUCUGGCCUGUGACUGACACUGAGGCUCGAAAGCGUGGGGAGCAAACAGG